AACCCUCGGGAUUGUAAUUUGAAGAUUUGGCAUUGGAGAAAGCUAACCCAAGUUGCUUGGAAUAGUACGUCAUAGAGGGUGACAACCCCGUCUGGCUAACCGUUCUCCAUGUAUUGCCUUAUCAAAGAGUCGAGUUGUUUGGGAAUGCAGCUCAAAGUGGGUGGUAAACUCCAUCUAAAGCUAAAUACUGGUGAGAGACCGAUAGCGAACAAGUACUGUGAAGGAAAGGUGAAAAGAACUUUGAAAAGAGAGUGAAAUAGUAUGUGAAAUUGUUGAUAGGGAAGGAAAUGAGUGGAGAGUGGCCGAGGUUUCAGCCGCCCCUCGUGGGCGGUGUACUGCCGACGCCGAGUCAUCGAUAGCGAGACGAGGGUUACAAAUGGGAGCGCCUUUCGGGCGUUCUCCC
rnacentral:rRNA from 1 species